AUUGAACGCUGGCGGCAGGCCUAACACAUGCAAGUCGAACGAGUGGCGGACGGGUGAGUAAUGUCUGGGAAACUGCCUGAUGGAGGGGGAUAACUACUGGAAACGGUAGCUAAUACCGCAUACCAUCAGAUGUGCCCAGAUGGGAUUAGCUUGUUGGUGGGGUACCGGCUCACCAAGGCGACGCUCCCUAGCUGGUCUGAGAGGAUGACCAGACACACGUGAAGUGAGACACGGCCCAGACUCUUACGGGAGGCAGGAGUGGGGAAUAUUGAACAAGGGGCGCAAGCCUGAUGCAGCCAUGCCGCGUGUAUGAAGAAGGCCUUCGGGUUGUAAAGUACUUUCAGCGGGGAGGCGUUACCCGCAGAAGAAGCACCGGCUAACUCCGUGCCAGCAGCCGCGGUAAUUC
rnacentral:rRNA from 1 species